rnacentral:rRNA from 1 species
AGCGAACGCUGGCGGCAGGCCUAACACAUGCAAGUCGAACGGAUCCUUCGGGAUUAGUGGCGGACGGGUGAGUAACACGUGGGAACGUGCCUUUUGGUUCGGAACAACUCAGGGAAACUUGAGCUAAUACCGGAUGUGCCCUUCGGGGGAAAGAUUUAUCGCCAUUAGAGCGGCCCGCGUUAGAUUAGCUAGUUGGUGGG